rnacentral:misc_RNA from 1 species
GAUGAAGAACGCAGCGAAAUGCGAUAAGUAAUGUGAAUUGCAGAAUUCAGUGAAUCAUCGAAUCUUUGAACGCACAUUGCGCCCUCUGGUAUUCCGGGGGGCAUGCCUGUUCGAGCGUCAUUAUAACCACUCAAGCUCUCGCUUGGUAUUGGGGUUCGCGAUUUCGCGGCCCCUAAAAUCAGUGGCGGUGCCUGUCGGCUCUACGCGUAGUAAUACUUCUCGCGAUUGAGUUCGAUAGGUCUACUUGCCAGUAACCCCCAAUUUUUACAGGUUGACCUCGGAUCAGGUAGGGAUACCCGCUGAACUUAAGCAUAUCAAUAAGCGGAGGA